rnacentral:rRNA from 1 species
CCUACGGGAGGCAGCAGUGGGGGAUAUUGCACAAUGGGGGAAACCCUGAUGCAGCAACGCCGCGUGUGGGAAGAAGGUCUUCGGAUUGUAAACUACUGUCCUUGGUGAAGAUAAUGACGGUAACCAAGGAGAAAGCACCGGCCAACUACGUGCCAGCAGCCGCGGUAAUACGUAGGGCGCAAGCGUUGUCCGGAUUUACUGGGUUAAAAGGGUGCGCAGGCGGGGGUGCAAGUCAGCGGUCAAAUCGCGGGGCUCAACCCCGUACUGCCGUUGAAACUGCAUCCCUUGAGUGCGCGAGAAGUAUGCGGAAUGCGUGGUGUAGCGGGGAAAUGCAUAGAAAUCACGCAGAACUCCGGUUGCGAAAGCAGCAUACCGGCGCGCAACUGACGCUCAUGCACGAAAGCGUGGGUAUCGAACAGGAUUAGAUACCCUUGUAGUC